rnacentral:rRNA from 1 species
UGGGGAAUAUUGCGCAAUGGGCGAAAGCCUGACGCAGCGACGCCGUGUGGGUGAUGAAGGCCUUCGGGUCGUAAAGCCCUUUCGAGGGGAAAGAAAAAGUUGGGUUCAAAUAGGACUCAGCCCUGACGGUACCCCUAUAAGAAGCACCGGCUAACUACGUGCCAGCAGCCGCGGUAAUACGUAGGUGGCAAGCGUUGUCCGGAAUCACUGGGCGUAAAGCGCACGUAGGCGGAUUUGUAAGUCAGGGGUGAAAUCCCGGGGCUCAACCUCGGAACUGCCUUUGAUACUGCGGAUCUCGAGUCCGAUAGAGGUGAGUGGAAUUCCUAGUGUAGAGGUGAAAUUCGUAGAUAUUAGGAAGAACACCAGUGGCGAAGGCGGCCAACUGGCUCGAUACUGACGCUGAGGUGCGAAAGCGUGGGGAGCAAACAGGAUUAGAUACCCAAGUAGUCCCUGAGCGGGCUGGCAAGGCGCAU